rnacentral:lncRNA from 1 species
GUCCGAUUCAUCUAAAAAUUUCAGAGCAGAUAAAUGUUGACCUGAUAAACAAUUUUACCCCUGUCAGAUUUGCUCUAAAUGCUUUGGGUUUUGAGUUAUAAGCCAAAAACUGCAUUUUACCCCAUGUUCUAUUUUUAGCCAUGGCGGCCAUCUUGGUUUGAUGGCCGGGUCACCGGACACAUUUUUCAAACUACUAACCCAAAAGAUGAUUGUGGCCAAGUUUGGAUUAAUUUGGCCAAGUAGUUUCAGAGAAGAAGAUUUUUGUAAAAGAUUACUAAGAUUUACGAAAAAUGGUUAAAAUUGACUAUAAAGGGCAAUAACUCCUAAAGGGGUCAACUGACCAUUUCAGUCAUGUUGACUUAUUUGUAAAUCUUACUUUGCUGAACAUUAUUGCUGUUUGUAGUUUAUCUCUAUCUAUAAUAAUAUUCAAGAUAAUAACCAAAAACAGCAAAAUUUCCUUAAAAUUACCAAUUCAGGGCAGCAACCCAACAACGGGUUGUCCGAUUCAUCUGAAAAUUUCAGGGCAGAUAGAUCUUGACCUGAUAAACAAU